AAAAAAAUGAGAAAGUUGGAGUU
rnacentral:piRNA from 1 species